rnacentral:misc_RNA from 1 species
CAACUAUUAAAAUAACAAUAUUGAUUGAUUAAUAUUGAUUAAUAAUGCAUUUAAUCUUUGAUUGAUUAGCUUUCUUUAUAUUCAUACUAUAACAAAAUGAACAGAAAAAAAAGGGAUAUCAUAAAUUUAUACAAACACAAGAAGGGGUAAAAAAUUUUGCAAUAUUCCUUGAUUUUCUAACACAUUUUAUGAUUUUUUCUUAUCUUCAUCUCUGGUUGGUAUCAACUGCAGUGUUUAAUAGAUCAUUAGAAGGUUCUUUUUCAAUGGGAAAUUUAAGUUGCCAAAGCAUUAUUUUAGAGCAG